rnacentral:rRNA from 1 species
AUUGAACGCUGGCGGCAGGCCUAACACAUGCAAGUCGAGCGGAUGAAGGGAGCUCGCUCCUGGAUUCAGCGGCGGACGGGUGAGUAAUGCCUAGGAAUCUGCCCGGUAGUGGGGGAUAACGUCCGGAAACGGGCGCUAAUACCGCAUACGUCCUGAGGGAGAAAGUGGGGGUUCUUCGGACCUCACGCUAUCAGAUGAGCCUAGGUCGGAUUAGCUAGUUGGUGGGGUAAAGGCCUACCAAGGCGACGAUCCGUAGCUGGUCUGAGAGGAUGAUCAGUCACACUGGAACUGAGACACGGUCCAGACUCCUACGGGAGGCAGCAGUGGGGAAUAUUGGACAAUGGGCGAAAGCCUGAUGCAGCCAUGCCGCGUGUGUGAAGAAGGUCUUCGGAUUGUAAAGCACUUUAAGUUGGGAGGAAGAGCAGUAAGUUAAUACCUUGCUGUUUUGACGUUACCAACAGAGUAAGCACCGGCUAACUUCGUG